AUUGAACGCUGGCGGCAGGCCUAACACAUGCAAGUCGAACGAGUUGCGGACGUGUGAGUGAUGUCUGGGAAACUGCCUGAUGGAGGGGGAUAACUACUGGAAACGGUAGCUAAUACCGCAUACCAUCAGAUGUGCCCAGAUGGGAUUGGCUAGUUGGUGGGGUAACGCCUCACCAAGGCGACGAUCCCUAGCUGGUCGGAGAGGAUGACCAGACACACUGGAAGUGAGACACGGUCCAGACUCCUACGGGAGGCAGCAGUGGGGAAUAUUGCACAAUGGGCGCAAGCCUGAUGCAGCCAUGCCGCGUGUAUGAAGAAGGACUUCGGGUUGUAAAGUACUGUCAGCGGGGAGGCGUUACCCGCAGAAGAAGCACCGGCUAACUCCGUGCCUGCAGCCGCGGUAAUUC
rnacentral:rRNA from 1 species